GAAAUGCGAUAAGUAAUGUGAAUUGCAGAAUUCAGUGAAUCAUCGAAUCUUUGAACGCACAUUGCGCCCGCCAGUAUUCUGGCGGGCAUGCCUGUUCGAGCGUCAUUUCAACCAUCAAGCCCCCGGCUUGUGUUGGGGACCUGCGGCUGCCCGCAGGCCCUGAAAAACAGUGGCGGGCUCGCUGUCACACCGAGCGCAGUAGCAUACAUUCUCGCUCAGGGAGUGCUGCGGGUUCCGGCCGUUAAACGACCUUCAUAACCCAAGGUUGACCUCGGAUCAGGUAGGAAGACCCGCUGAACUUAAGC
rnacentral:misc_RNA from 1 species